rnacentral:rRNA from 1 species
ACGUAAUAGAUACCCUGGUAGUCCACGCCCUAAACGAUGUCUACUAGUUGUUGGUGGAGUAAAAUCCAUGAGUAAACGCAGCUAAACGCGUGAAGUAGACCGCCUGGGGAGUACGGUCGCAAGAUUAAAAACUCAAAGGAAUUGACGGGGGCCCGCACAAGCGGUGGAUUAUGUGGAUUAAAUUCGAUGCAACGCGAAAAACCUUACCUGGCCUUGACAUGCCACUAACGAAGCAGAGAUGCAUUAGGUGCCCGUAAGGGAAAGUGGACACAGGUGCUGCAUGGCUGUCGUCAGCUCGUGUCGUGAGAUGUUGGGUUAAGUCCCGCAACGAGCGCAACCCUUGCCAUUAAUUGCCAUCAUUUAGUUGGGCACUUUAAUGGGACUGCCGGUGACAAACCGGAGGAAGGUGGGGAUGACGUCAAGUCCUCAUGGCCCUUAUGGCCAGGGCUUCACACGUAAUACAAUGGUCGGUACAGAGAGUUGCCAACCCGCGAGGGGAGGCUAAUCUCAGAAAGCCGAUCGUAGUCC